rnacentral:rRNA from 1 species
UUUAAGUUUAAUUUAAUAUAGGAUCUGCUCAAUGAUUUAUUAAAUAGCUGCAGUAUUUUGACUGUGCAAAGGUAGCAUAAUAAUUAGUCUUUUAAUUGAGGACUUGUAUGAAAGAUUUGAUGAGAAAUAAACUUUAUUAUUUAUAUAAUUAAAAUUUUAUUUUUAAGUAAAAAAGCUUAAAUUAUUUAAAGGGACGAUAAGACCCUAUAAAACUUUAUAAAUGUUAAUUUUGAUUUUUUUUGGAUUUAUAAAUAUUUUAAUUUUUAUAUUUAUUUUAUUGGGGUGAUAAAAAAAAUUAUUAAACUUUUUUUAAAAUUUUACAUUAUUUAAUGAUUUUUUGAAUUAAAAUUUUUAAUUAAAGGAAAAAGUUACUUUAGGGAUAACAGCGUAAUUAAUUUUUUAAGUUCAAAUUUAAAAAUUAGUUUGCGACCUCGAUGUUGAAUUAAGAUUAAUCUUAGGUGCAAAAUUUUAAGUAUUAGGUCUGUUCGACCUUUAAAUUCUUACGUGA